rnacentral:rRNA from 1 species
UACAGGGGGGUGCAAACGUUGCUCGGAAUCAUUGGGCGUAAAGCGCACGUAGGCGGUUCGUUAUGUCGGAUGUGAAAGCCCUUGGCUUAACCGAGGAAGUGCAUCCGAAACUGGCGAGCUAGAGUACGAAAGAGGAUCGCGGAAUUCCCGGUGUAGAGGUGAAAUUCGUAGAUAUCGGGAAGAACACCCGUGGCGAAGGCGGCACUCUGGGACGGUACUGACGCUGAGACGCGAAAGCGUGGGGAGCGAACAGG